rnacentral:misc_RNA from 1 species
GAUGAAGAACGUAGCGAAAUGCGAUAAGUAGUGUGAAUUGCAGAAUUCAGUGAAUCAUCGAAUCUUUGAACGCACAUUGCGCCCCUUGGUAUCCCGAGGGGCAUGCCUGUUCGAGCGUCAUUUCACCACUCAAGCCUGGCUUGGUGUUGGGCGACGUCCCCUUUAGGGACGCGCCUCGAAACGCUCGGCGGCGCGGCACCGGCUUUAAGCGUAGCAGAAUCUUUCGCUUUGGAAGUCGGGGCCCCGUCUGCCGGAAGACCUACUCGCAAGGUUGACCUCGGAUCAGGCAGGGAUACCCGCUGAACUUAAGCAUAUCAAUAAGCGGAGGA